rnacentral:rRNA from 1 species
ACCCGCUGAACUUAAGCAUAUCAGUAAGCGGAGGAAAAGAAACUAACUAGGAUUCCCCGAGUAGCGGCGAGCGAAAGGGGAGAAGCCCAGCGCCGAAGCCCGCGGCCCCAUGGCCGCCGUGCAAUGUGGCGUUUCGGCGGCGCUCCGCCGCGCCCUCCCAUGGCACGUGUACCUCUGAAUGGGUCUGCCCGCAGCGGGUGUCAGGCCUCUAACUGCCAGACGGGAGGCGCGGCACGGCGCCGUCGCGGAGUCGGGUUGCUUGAGAGUGCAGCCCAAAGUGGGUGGUAAGCUCCAUCUAAGGCUAAAUACCUAGUGCGAGACCGAUAGCAAACAAGUACCGUGAGGGAAAGUUGCAAAGAACUUUGAAAAGAGAGUUCAAGAGUACGUGAAACCGUUCAGAGGCAAACGGACGGAACUGGGCGAGUUCGCCGCCGCCAUUCAGCCGGCGCGCCGUCGCGAGACGGAGGCGCCGGUGCACUUGGCGGCGGCGGAGCGCGACGACCGCCUGUCGGGUCGUCAGAAGCCCGGCGGCAAGGUGGCGACGCGCUCGCGCGUCGUGUUACAGGCCGCCUGCUCUGGCGUUGGCUGACCCGGCGGGCGAGGAGCGCCUGCGGUGCACUCCCGCCUCGCGGGAGUGGCCCGACGCGGUGGGCUUGCGGACGCCGGCGACAAACUGCUCGCAGUUUGAUGUCGCGCGCGCCGUCUGUCGCGCCGCGCGGUGCCACGGGGCACGCAGGGUCCGGGUCGUGUGGUUCCUGGCACUCCGUCCGACCCGUCUUGAAACACGGACCAAGGAGUUGAGCACGCGCGCGAGUCGAUGGGCUCGCAGAACCCCAGUGGCGCAGCUAAGGCAAAACGGGCGUGAUCCGGCACUGGCGUGUCGGCGCAACGCCGGCCCGCGGCUGACUCGUUGCGAGUGGCCGCGGCGCAAGAGCGCGCGUGCUCAGACCCGAAAGGUGGUGAACUAUGCUUGAGCAGGGCGAAGCCAGAGGAAACUCUGGUGGAGGCUCGCAGCGAUCCUGACGUGCAAAUCGGUCGUCAAACUUGAGCAUAGGGGCGAAAGACUAAUCGAACCGCCUAGUAGCUGGUUCCCUCCGAAGUUUCCCUCAGGAUAGCUGGCACUCGGGAUAAAUGGUUUUAUCCGGUAAAGCGAAUGAUUAGAGGCAUUGGGGACGAAACGUCCUCAACCUAUUCUCAAACUUUAAAUGGGUAAGAGGCGCGGCCCUUCCUGAUCGGGGUCGCGUGCUCGAACAGAGAGUGCCCAGUGGGCCGUUUUUGGUAAGCAGAACUGGCGCUGUGGGAUGAACCAAACGUGCGGUUAGGGUGCCUAACGCACGCUCAUGAGACACCACAAAAGGUGUUGGUUGAUAUAGACAGCAGGACGGUGGCCAUGGAAGUCGGAAUCCGCUAAGGAGUGUGUAACAACUCACCUGCCGAAUCAACUAGCCCUGAAAAUGGAUGGCGCUGGAGCGUGCGACCCAUACCGCACCGUCGGGGCAACGCGUGCGAAAUGCCAGGCCCCGACGAGUAGGAGGGCGUGUCGGUGGCGUUGAAGCGUAGUGCGCGAGCACGCGUGGAGCCGCCUUCAGUGCAGAUCUUGGUGGUAGUAGCAAGUAUACAAAUGAGAACUUUGUAGACCGAAGUGGAGAAGGGUUCCAUGUGAACAGCAGUUGGACAUGGGUCAGUCGGCCCUAAGAGAUCGGAGAAUUCCGUUCUGAACGGGGGGGACGCGUCGCGCGCGCGCCGCCCGCCCGCACGCACGACACGCGCAUGUCUGAGCAGCAUGCAAUAUCAUACGCAUAUAUAAAUAUGCAAUGAAGAGACGUCGCAUUUGGCCGCCGGAGUGACGACCCGCGCGGCCAAUAUCCUCACCCGAGCGCGUCUCCGCACGCACACCAUCAAUCAGUAUUCCAACUUGAGUGCGGACUUCGAUAACAAAGAUUAUCAAGCCGCACGAGUGCGUUGCGAAAAAGCGGCACACAAGUGCUGCGCGUGUCGGCGCGACGCCACCAGGCCGUAGGUUACGGCCGGCGUCGCGCGUGGGCGGUGUGGCCGCGCGCGCGCUCGCGCUCGCUGGCCCCGAUGCGAUCGAAAGGGAAUCGGGUUAAUAUUCCCGAACCUGGCAGUGGAGAUUGGGCCCUCGGGCCCCAGUGCGGUAACGCAACCGAACUCGGAGACGCCAGCGUCGAUCCCGGGAAGAGUUCUCUUUUCUUUGUUAGGAGCGGACUCCCUGGAAUUGGCUUGUCCAGAGAUAGGGACGUUGCAUCCGUAAAGCGUCGCGCCUCACGCGGCGUCCGGUGCAUCGGCGUUGGCCCUUGAAAAUCCGAGGGAGGCAGUGUAAUUUUCACUCCAGGCCGUACCCGAAUCCGCAGCAGGUCUCCAAGGUGAACAGCCUCUGGUCGAUAGAACAAUGUAGGUAAGGGAAGUCGGCAAAUCCGAUCCGUAACUUCGGGAUAAGGAUUGGCUCUGAGGUGCGGGCUGCUUCGGGUCGCGGCAAGAAGCGGUCGGCGCGUUGGUUGGACUGGACGCGCCCUCGGGCGCGUUCGGACCGCCGCCAGCGCGCGGCCGUGGGAGGCCGUGGCUUUCGGCGGCGUGGGCUCGCGCCCGCGUCGCCUUCGUUCGGCCUAAACGCACAGCACAGAACUGGCACGGACUCUGGGAACACGACUGUCUAAUUAAAACAAAGCAUCGCGAUGGCCGCUGGUCGGUGUUGACGCGAUGUGAUUUCUGCCCAGUGCUUUGAAUGUCAAAGUGAAGAAAUUCAACCAAGCGCAGGUAAACGGCGGGAGUAACUAUGACUCUCUUAAGAUUCAGAGAGAGAGCUCACUCAGUUGCCAUUGACUAUUACUCAGAACUGCAAACUAGAACUCAAUACUAUUAUCAAACGAGCGCUGAUAGAUCAGUUACUACACUCUGAGAAUAUUCUCUGCUACUGAAACUGAAUCUAAUCUCUACGUUCACCUCCACGCGGUGAGAGUCGGUAACGUCAUUGACGGCAAACGAACGAGAGGACACUAUACGGUGUAUAACAGUAAUUCACGUUCAGGAACUGGUUACCCAGCGAUUCUUCGGCGACUGAACAUGUCACGACUUAGCUCCGUGACAACCCCCCCUGGGCUACCUCAUACCAGAUCUGUGCGCACCUCAGCCGUGCCCGUGGCUACAGCUGAGGGCCGGGGAACAUUGAAAACCCGGCCGGUGAUGGAGCCACCGAUGCUCCGGCUGCAGCGCCUCGAGGUAAGGCGUUGCGGCAAGUGUGACCAUGGGUCUGUCGCACUAGUGCGUCAGAGCCCGGCAGUUUGGAGUUGCUCUUGCGGUUGCUUUGUCUGCGGGGAGAAAGAUUGCACCAGGGAGUUUGGCACGCUGAACGGUUGUGCACUGCACCAGAGAAAGGUGCACCCUGACGUGGCAUGCGAACGCCUCGUCAGACUGAUGACCUCAGGCCGUAAGGCCAGGUGGUCCGAAGGUGAGGUGGCCCUACUGGCGCGUAGGACCCACGACUGGGACAGCGGGCGCGUCCUAAGUCAAGGUAAGACCUGGGAAGAGAAUGAGCUAGCUGUAGAGCUCGGUCGGACCGUUGAGGCAGUAAGGUCGGCCAGGCGGACUGCGAACCGCCGAUUCAGAGCAGCGAUGACACAUCUGGACCAGUGCAAUAUGGUUAACGUAAGUGACUCUGAGGACGAACACGCUGAAAUACAUAAUGCUCAGUAUCCCCCUGACAACGGGAUAGCAACAGAACAGCGCGGGGCCGUUCUGAAUGGUGUCCGCUUCGACCUCUUCGUAGAGGCGGGCCACCAGCAGUUCACAAGGGCCGGAUUGCUAGAGGCCGCAGAGGGUGGCAAUGGGAGGCAGUGGUUGGAUGAUCUGACGGAGGCACUGCUGCCAACCAGAGCCAAGACUGAACCAGGGCACGGGUCUGCGAGUAAAGCCACUGGCAAAGUCGCCCAGCAGCUCUCUAGCAAACAACGGCGCAGGCAUUUGUACGCACAAUUACAAAGGCAAUACGCGAAGGACCCGUCGCGCGCGGCUGCCUCGGUAUUGUCAGGCACCUCCGACAGCGUCGAUAAGACACUGGCGCCCGAGAAAAUGUUCGACCACUGGGCCGGACAGUUCUCUCAACCCAGCCUGCCUGACGGGCGCUCCUUCCCCGAAGUUCGCCCCCUUAUGGACUGCUCAAAGGCAGUGACUGCAGACGAGGUGCGCCGCAACCUACUGGGCACAAAAGGCGCGGCGGGGCCAGACUCGUGGAGAUGGCCCGAUCUGAAGAAAGUGUCAAAUGAAUUGCUAGCCGGAUACUUCAACGUAUGGCUGUACCUAGGGGAUCUGCCCUCGAGAAUGCUCGAGGGAAGAACGAGCCUUAUCCCCAAAGUGCCCGGGACGGAGGACCUAGCAAAACACCGGCCGAUUACUGUCACAUCGACAAUCGGUCGCCUCUUUGACAGAAUCGUCAGUCGACGCCUCGAAUCAGCUCUGCCGAUCUCUGAGCGUCAAAGAGGUUUCCGUCAAGGGGAUGGGAUCUUUUUGAAUGUUAAACUGUUGGAGGCUUUAAUAAAGCGUUCCACAGAUGAGAUCAGACCGCUGGCGGCCUGCUUCCUUGACGUAAAAGGAGCAUUCGACAGUGUCUCUCAUAACAGCGUGCUAGCGGCCUGCGAACGCCUUGGGGUACCUCCCUCACUCCUGUCGUACUUUAGGAACAUGUACAGAGGGUCGAGUACUCGCCUAAAGUAUGGCGGCCGACUGUCGGAGCCGGUGAGGGUGACCCGAGGUGUAAAACAGGGUGCGCCUAGUAGUUGUGUUCUGUUCAAUGCUGUCAUUGAUAUGGCGGUGGCUGAAUUGGAUCAGUCGCUAGGGAUCCGCCUGAGGGAGGCGGAGCCACCGGUAUCGCACCUCUUGUUUGCUGACGACGCAGUCGUAGUAGCAGAGACGAUGCCGGCACUGCAAGCGCAGGUGACGAAGUAUGAGGAGGCGUUGGGAACGGUAGGACUGAGGCUCAACCACAGCAAGAGUGCCUCGCUGGUUCUCAGAGCCAACCGGAGGAUGAAGCAGUGGACGGUCGAUAAGGGGGAAAAGCUGACAGUUGGAGGCCAAGUCGCACCCUCCAUGGGUGCGACUGACACCUACCGAUACUUGGGCCUCCAACUGGGGGCCAGUGGUUCAAGCAUGAGGAGCUGCCCUGAGCAGCUCCAGCUCCUACUGGACAACCUCAAACGAGCCCCCUUGAAGCCUCAGCAGCGCCUGAGGAUACUUACGCAAAACCUAAUCCCCAAACUGCUGCACCCACUGGUCGUGGGCGCAGCCAAUCUCACCUUGCUGAGACUCCUUGACGCUAAGAUACGGGGAGCAGUGCGGCGCCUGAUCCAUAUACCUGAACACUCUCUCGUAGAGUUCAUCCACGCACCAGUCAGGGACGGCGGGCUCGGUGUUAUGCGAUUGGAGCAUAGCGUACCGGUUAUGCAGGCACGUCGGGUGAACCAGUUGAACAGCACCCCGACUGAUGACGGAGCACUUGAAUGGUUGAGGGGUCAGAGGAAAUUUGCCAAGGAAGUUGACGGAAUGACGACACCCAGGACCUAUGGAGGACUGGUGCUGUCGUCAACAGAGGCUGUCAGGGCGGCAGCGGGCAAAGUUCUUCGUGACAGUGCUGAUGGCAAAGGCCUCCGAGGACACUCGGAGGUACGAGCUAGCAGCGACUGGAUUGCGCAAGACCUCAUUCUCCAAGGCAGCCAAUUCGUGCGAUUCGUCAACCUGCGAGCCGGCUUGUUACCUACACCCGCCCUGCGGGUCAGGAUAACAAAGCGAGCUGAGGACGCGAAAUGCAACUACUGUGGCGAGAUCGCUCACCUUGGGCACAUACUACAGAAGUGCGGACGCUCACACGCAGAACGCGUGCGGAGGCACGACGAUGUCAGCGCUAAGGUAGCCGCUCGCCUAAGCGCCAAAGGGUACAAAGUACACCGAGAGACGCGCAUCGUGUUUGGGGAUGGACUCGAGCGCACCACCCUCAUACCCGAUCUGAUAGCCGUGAAUGGAAAAGAGGCAUGGGUCAUUGAUGCCACCAUUCACAGUGACCACGUCGAGCCAGACAAAGUACACAAUGACAAGGUGCGCAAGUACGAUCUGCCGCAAGUGAGACAGUGGAUCAAGCAGAAAUACGAAGUGGACGCUGUGGUAUUCUCUGCAGUGGCUAUCAGCUGGCGAGGGACAAUGUCAGCCCUUACGGACGAAGCAUUGUCCAGGUUAGGCUUGUCGCGGCGUGAACGUGCUUGGCUCGUUGUUAAAGCUCUCUCAGGCAGCCUCAAGUGCUACGUUCAGUGGAGCAAUAGUACCAACACGCUCCGGCCACUCCGACGGUAGUGCAAUAAGGAUUUGACGGAAACUCCCUUUAUAUGGCUUAUGGCAGGGUAACAGUAAGAGUACUCAGACUCAGUUCGAGAGGCAUCACUUUGUGGUGCGGGUGGUGGAAAAAAACGAGAAAACAAACAAAAACAAUACAAAAACCAAAAACCAAAAAUAUUUCGUCCAAAGUGUGCUCUAUGUUUAUAUAUUAUCAAUUUGUGUGUUAACUAACCAAUUUCGUGCUUGGAACUUUCGAGCCUCCAAGCUCACCUGCGCAACCCUGCCUCACUCAGUGAGGCAGGUAAUGAUGGCGGAGCAAUCCGAAAUCGAGGAUGGACGGCGGAGCGCUCCGAAAUGCCAGGAAUUGACGGAGGAGCAAUCCGAAACCAGGAAUUGACGGUCAGUGCGAGGCUUCGACUGAACAAACUAGGAAUUGACGGCCAGUGUGAAGCCUCCACUAUCUACAGUAUGAUUUCCACAGGUGUAAGAGUGACGCUGCAUUUGACCACUGGAAUAGCGAACCGAGUGAUCAAUAUUCUCACCCUAAGCACGUCCUCGCACACCUAGCGGCCUUUGAGCCGCUAAACUCACUAUGCGCAACCCUGCCUCACCUAGUGAGACAGGUAACGAUGACGGAGAAAUCCGAAAUCAGGAAUUGACGGAGGGGCGCUCCAAAAGCUAUGAAUUGGCGGAGGAGCAACCCAAAACCAGGAAUUGACGGUCAGCGAGGGGCCUCUGCUAAACAAACCAGGAAUUGACGGGCAGUAUGAAGCCCCCGCUAUUUUCAGUAUAAUUUCCACAGGUGUUAGAGUGACGCUGCAUUUGAUCACCGGAAUAGCGAACCGAGUGACCAAUAUCCUCUCCCUAAGCACGUCCUCGCACACCGAGGUGCCGAUAGCGAAGGGAGAAGCCUGGGCCGAUCCCGAGGGGUGUACCUGGUGCGGUGCUGGUGCUCGAGCCGGUACAAUGCAGGUUCGCCUGUAGCAAUGCGAUGAUGGCAAGUGGGCUGCCUCGUCGGGCCCCUUACAGAGACCACCUAAUCGUGCGUGGGGGCGAGAUGCAAUGGUUUCUCGAGUGUCAACGGGCUUUGGGGCACCGCUCUGUGUCGCGGGCACAGAGUGGGUAAGCAUCCUCCUCGCCAUCCGACGGGUGACAGUGCACUAA